GGAACUGAGCAUGUUAGUACUCCAGCUUAUUCUCUUCAUUUCACUGUCAAGAGAAAUCCCUGUCAAGAACUGGGCCUGCUUGCUCAGUCUGCUGCAUGGAACAGCUCCAUUCUCCUGGUCCUCACCUCCUCUAUGUUUCUGAGUCUGGCCUCUAAUGUGACAGACUUCUCUUUUGUCCAGUCUGCCAAAGAUUCAAUUUUGCCAGAUGUCAGAAGUUAAAGACACAGAAUGUAGCACUAGGGCUAAAACUAGAGCCUCUCUGUCACAAACUAUAUCACCGGCCAGAACUCAUCUUGUACUGACUAGGGGGUCUGCUGUUUGAAAUGCCAGAGUGCCACAUUUUGGCACUGUAUGGACUGAAACCCAUCACAGCAGAUUCUGUGAAAUGGGAUGCAGUAUUUCCAUGUUGUCUUCCAUAAGACCAAAAUGAGCUACCAGCCAGAGCCAGAAGUGACCCCUAAACAAAGGGAACAGCUUUCACACUCUUUUAAAACAGUGGGAAAAGAUUUUUACACUGUCCUAAAAUACAAAUAAAAAUUGAUUACCAGUCACUUUUAA